rnacentral:rRNA from 1 species
CAUGCAAGUCGAGCGAGAAGCUAACUUCGGUUGGUGGACAGCGGCGCACGGGUGAGUAAUGCGUGGGAAUUUACCUUUCGGCGGGGGACAACAGUUGGAAACGACUGCUAAUACCGCAUACGCCCUACGGGGGAAAGAUUUAUCACCGAAAGAUAGGCCCGCGUUAGAUUAGGUAGUUGGUAGGGUCAAAGCCUACCAAGCCGACGAUCUAUAGCUGGUUUGAGAGAACGAUCAGCCACACUGGAACUGAGACACGGUCCAGACUCCUACGGGAGGCAGCAGUGGGGAAUCUUGCACAAUGGGCGAAAGCCUGAUGCAGCCAUGCCGCGUGAGUGAGAAGGCCUUCGGGUUGUAAAACUCUUUUAGAUGUGAAGAUGAUGACGGUAACAUCAGAAAAAGCACCGGCUAACUUCGUGCCAGCAGCCGCGGUAAUACGAAGGGUGCUAGCGUUGUUCGGAAUUACUGGGCGUAAAGAGCGUGUAGGCGGCUUAGCAAGUUAGAGGUGAAAUCCCAGGGCUCAACCCUGGAACUGCCUUUGAUACUGCUAGGCUUGAGAUCGUGAGGGGAUAGCGGAAUACCCAGUGUAGAGGUGAAAUUCGU